rnacentral:lncRNA from 1 species
UUGAUCUUGAACUGGGUUGGAGGAUUUUCUGGAUUCCUCCAAUUGUUGAUUUUCCACAGCUUAUUCUUGAACUAAGUUUUGAUUCAAGAGUGGUAGACACUUGAUCUUGAAUCGGACUUGUGAUUUCCUCAAGGGCCGUCGAGGCUUGAUCUUGAAUUUGGCUGGAAACUUCUUCAAAGGCCGUUGAGGCUUGAUUCUUGAAGGUUGACUCGAACACAUGACAAGCAGGCACGAGGUGAAGGUGACGACUUGUUGCUCUGUUCAAUCUUUCUAAUUCACACCUGAGCAGUUUGGUCAACGGUAUGAUCUUCAAGAUUGAUGGGCUCUUUUUCCAGUUGGUGACUUGAUCUUUAAGGAUUUGAUUCAAGGGUGGUGAAAUGGCACAUGCAGUCCACAACGCCUAGUAAGU